AGAACAUGAAUUCCUAAAACUUUUAACUGGGUUAGGCGCGCAUAAAAAUUCAUCAGAACCCUCAGAAAACCCCCCAACUCUGCUCGCAAGAAAACCGAAACCUCUUCACCGCCGCUCUUCACUGCCGCUUCUCACUCUGCACCGCCUCUCCCUUGCGCCUCUUUCCGGCCGCCUCCCAACCUCCGGUAAAACUCGCAGAAAGCCACUCCAAACUCUACUCGCAAGAAAACCCGCAAAACUCACUGCUGCUCCUCACUCUGCGCCGCCGCUCCCUUGUACCUCUUUCCGGCCGCAUCUCAACCUCCCGUAAAACCCGGUUGCCCCACCGCUGCAAUCAAUUCCACGAAUUCAGUUUGUUAAUUGCUGAACGCCUGAACCUCGAUGGAGCGAAUGUAAACGUUAAUGGAGGAGCUAUAGCGCUUGGAUAUCCUUUCGGAGCUACAUGUAUGCAAUUUUGCUUCUUGAUAAACACUUUUGUGGGUGCCCUGUGUGAAAUUAAACAUCGAGGAAGAGAUUGCCGAUUUGGAGUCGUUUCCAUGUUUAUAGGGGGGACUACUUUAAAGAUCUGUACUACCAGUUCUGAACUUGCAGGAAGGGGUAAGAGUGCUUCAAUUGUUUUUAAAAGAGGUGAUCGUGUAGGCGAAUUAACUACCUAACACCUGUUAACUGGAAUCUGUAAAGCUGAAGCUUCGGUUGUAAUGAAGGUUUCCAACUAAGAGGGUGAAGGAGGCACGUGAGAGGAUGAAAUUGCUGGUUGUUUUUAAUAUUUAUAAAUAAAACAUGUGUUUAGUUAUAAUUGAGUAAGUUUCAGGCUGUAACCCAAUUUAGUUGGUUCUGUGGCAUGCGUAACUGAAAUUGUUAUUCAUGGGUAUAAUAGCUAUUUGAAUCCUGCAAUCCUAUGUAAAUGAUUCUCUGUCUAAGAAGUCUGGAGGCUGUGUUUUUGCGCUUCAAGAUGAACAGCUGCAGGCCACCCAACAGUACACGCAAAGCACCAGAACCACAAUCUUGAUGGUCGUUCAAUCCACCGUCCUGUUUAGCUAGCGGUUUCUCUACUUUUUGCAGAAAGGUACCGGCUGUCUGAACUUUCUCUUGGCACUGAUUCUCAAUGUAUAAUAUUCAUUUUACAGCUACAUCAAAAUGGUUUACUCGGAGGAGAUGACAUAACAGACCGCUUCUUCCGGGUUCUUUGGUGAAUGUUAUUUCCAUUUUAGAGUUUUGGUUUAAUAUUUAUUUAUUAUUGUAUUUAGUACCAUAUGCAUAAUUGAUCUUGUGUUCCAGGAAAUCUUUGUGUCACAUUUUGGUGAGGUGAUGCAAUACACUCCACCCCAAGUGCAGUCCUUCCUCGCCAUUGAUAUUUACGCUAAAUCAGUAUAUUCAAUCUUGAAGAUAUUUUUGCUUUUCCCUUGCGAUUUUCUCUUACUGUAUUGCACUGUCUUUAACUUCAAAUCUUGUUGUUUUUGUAGCAUUCUCCAGUGGAUCAAAGAUCAAGCAAACUCUUUCUCUUACCAAAGGUUUUGUCAGCUUUUGCAAAUGCAUUCCAUGCCUUGCAGCCUCUUAAAAGUACCUGCUUUCAGAAGAUUCUAAAGAUAGAAGGAAGGAUCUAGGGCACCGCCUCACCGAAGCCUUAAAGCUUGUAUUGCUGAUUGGUUAUGGGAAAAAUUCAUGCAGUCCUCUCUGAUGGACCAGUACCGUACGUAGUGAAAAAUGUUGAGGUAAUAGAGAGGAGAGAUGCGCUGAAUGAAACCACAGAAGCUCAGCUCCUCAAGAAGAUCGAGACCACUGAACACACACUGGCAGCAUCAACUGCGGCGCUUGAGCAAGAAGAAUUUCAGGGAAUAUAUUCCGGAGUGCAAGCUGAAGUGCUGCUGCUCCUACUAAUGUGCAGCUGGCUCAUUCAAGAACACCACGAGCUGAUUUUCUUUGCUUGAUUACUUAACCUGUACGAAAAAAGGGAAGGGUAUUGCCUGAUUUAUUUUUUUUCCCUUUCCAUUUUGUAAACACAUUAGAGUAACUUGUAAAAUGUACGUUAUUUUUUAAUAUAUUUAAUGCUUGUUUAUGCAAAAAAAUACGUAUAUAUAUUUUU